AAGAAUGCGAUAUGCAAUGUGAAUUGCAGAACCAUGAAUCAUCGGAUCUUUGAACGCAACUGGCGCUGAUUUACCUCAGCAUACUUGUUUCAGUGUGCGCAAACAACUCAACAACAAAAAUGUGAGAGAAUCUCUCUCAUAAAGUAAAUGCUCAUUGCAGCAGUCACAUUUAUUUGUGAGCUGGAAUGUUGAACACAAGCCUUAUUUGCAUCUGAUAUCAAGUAAGAUGACCCGCUGGACUUAA
rnacentral:misc_RNA from 1 species